AUUGAACGCUGGCGGCAGGCCUAACACAUGCAAGUCGAGCGGAUGAAGGGAGCUUGCUCCUGGAUUCAGCGGCGGACGGGUGAGUAAUGCCUAGGAAUCUGCCUGGUAGUGGGGGAUAACGUCCGGAAACGGGCGCUAAUACCGCAUACGUCCUGAGGGAGAAAGUGGGGGAUCUUCGGACCUCACGCUAUCAGAUGAGCCUAGGUCGGAUUAGCUAGUUGGUGGGGUAAAGGCCUACCAAGGCGACGAUCCGUAACUGGUCUGAGAGGAUGAUCAGUCACACUGGAGCUGAGACACGGUCCAGACUCCUACGGGAGGCAGCAGUGGGGAAUAUUGGACAAUGGGCGAAAGCCUGAUCCAGCCAUGCCGCGUGUGUGAAGAAGGUCUUCGGAUUGUAAAGCACUUUAAGUUGGGAGGAAGGGCAGUAAGUUAAUACCUUGCUGUUUUGACGCUACCAACAGAAUAAGCACCGGCUAACUUCGUG
rnacentral:rRNA from 1 species